rnacentral:rRNA from 1 species
GGAAUAUUGGACAAUGGGCGAAAGCCUGAUCCAGCCAUGCCGCGUGUGUGAAGAAGGCCUUCGGGUUGUAAAGCACUUUAAGCAGAGAAGAAAGGCUACAGGCUAAUACCCUGUGGCAUUGACGGUACCUGCCGAAUAAGCACCGGCUAAUUCCGUGCCAGCAGCCGCGGUAAUACGGAAGGUGCAAGCGUUAAUCGGAUUUACUGGGCGUAAAGCGUGCGUAGGUGGUUAGAUAAGUCGGAUGUGAAAUCCCCGGGCUCAACCUGGGAAUUGCACCCGAAACUAUCUGACUAGAAUACGGUAGAGGGAAGUGGAAUUUCAGGUGUAGCGGUGAAAUGCGUAGAUAUCUGGAGGAACAUCAAUGGCGAAGGCAACUUCCUGGGCCUGUAUUGACACUGAGGUACGAAAGCGUGGGGAGCAAAC